ACGGAGCACGCCGCGUGAGUGAUGAAGGCUUUCGGGUCGUAAAACUCUGUUGUUAGGGAAGAACAAGUGCUAGUUGAAUAAGCUGGCACCUUGACGGUACCUAACCAGAAAGCCACGGCUAACUACGUGCCAGCAGCCGCGGUAAUACGUAGGUGGCAAGCGUUAUCCGGAAUUAUUGGGCGUAAAGCGCGCGCAGGUGGUUUCUUAAGUCUGAUGUGAAAGCCCACGGCUCAACCGUGGAGGGUCAUUGGAAACUGGGAGACUUGAGUGCAGAAGAGGAAAGUGGAAUUCCAUGUGUAGCGGUGAAAUGCGUAGAGAUAUGGAGGAACACCAGUGGCGAAGGCGACUUUCUGGUCUGUAACUGACACUGAGGCGCGAAAGCGUGGGGAGCAAACAGGAUUAGAUACCCUGGUAGUCCACGCCGUAUACGAUGAGUGCUAAGUGUUAUAGGGUUUUUYCCCUUU
rnacentral:rRNA from 3 species